rnacentral:rRNA from 1 species
GAUGAACGCUGGCGGCGUGCUUAACACAUGCAAGUCGAACGAAGCACUUUUAAUUGAUUUCCUCGGAAUGAAGUUAUUUGUGACUGAGUGGCGGACGGGUGAGUAACGCGUGGGUAACCUGCCUCAUACAGGGGGGAUAACAGUUAGAAAUGACUGCUAAUACCGCAUAAGCGCACGGUAUCGCAUGAUACAGUGUGAAAAAACUCCGGUGGUAUGAGAUGGACCCGCGUCUGAUUAGCUAGUUGGUGGGGUAACGGCCUACCAAGGCGACGAUCAGUAGCCGACCUGAGAGGGUGACCGGCCACAUUGGGACUGAGACACGGCCCAA